UCAAACUUGGUCAUUUAGAGGAAGUAAAAGUCGUAACAAGGUUUCCGUAGGUGAACCUGCGGAAGGAUCAUUAAAGAAAUGGCGGCCCUCGUGGCCCCGUUUUCACCCUGUGCGUACCGUAUUCUAGUUGCUUCGGCGGGCUAGCCCGUCAGAAGACCUGAAACUCUUGAAUUUUUGCCGUCUGAGUACUAUGUAAAUAGUUAAAACUUUCAACAACGGAUCUCUUGGUUCUGGCAUCGAUGAAGAACGCAGC
rnacentral:misc_RNA from 1 species